GACGAACGCUGGCGGCGUGCUUAACACAUGCAAGUCGAGCGGUAAGGCCCUUUCGGGGGUACACGAGCGGCGAACGGGUGAGUAACACGUGGGUGACCUGCCCUUAGCUCUGGGAUAAGCCUGGGAAACUGGGUCUAAUACCGGAUAUGACUCCAUGACGCAUGCUGUGGGGUGGAAAGCCUUGUGCGGCUAGGGAUGGGCCCGCGGCCUAUCAGCUUGUUGGUGGGGUGAUGGCCACCAAGGCGACGACGGGUAGCCGGCCUGAGAGGGCGACCGGCCACACUGGGACUGAGACACGGCCCAGACUCCUACGGGAGGCAGCAGUGGGGAAUCUUGCGCAAUGGGCGAAAGCCUGACGCAGCGACGCCGCGUGAGGGAUGACGGCCUCGGUUGUAA
rnacentral:rRNA from 1 species